rnacentral:rRNA from 1 species
AGCGAACGCUGGCGGCAGGCCUAACACAUGCAAGUCGAACGGAUCCUUCGGGAUUAGUGGCGGACGGGUGAGUAACACGUGGGAACGUGCCCUUUGGUUCGGAACAACUCAGGGAAACUUGAGCUAAUACCGGAUGUGCCCUUCGGGGAAAGAUUUAUCGCCAUUGGAGCGGCCCGCGUCUGAUUAGCUAGUUGGUGGGGUAAAGGCCCACCAAGGCGACGAUCAGUAGCUGGUCUGAGAGGAUGAUCAGCCACAUUGGGACUGAGACACGGCCCAAACUCCUACGGGAGGCAGCAGUGGGGAAUCUUGCGCAAUGGGCGAAAGCCUGACGACAGCCAUGCCGCGUGAAUGAUGAAGGUCUUAGGAUUGUAAAAUUCUUUCACCGGGGACGAUAAUGACGGUACCCGGAGAAGAAGCCCCGGCUAACUUCGUGCCAGCAGCCGCCG